AUCUAAUGAAAUCCCAUCAUGUCUAUAUUUCUCUGGAAACAGGCCAUAUUUUAUAAAUCAAAAGCACUGAACUGAAAAGAAUAUAUAAUGAGUAUACUUGAAAGAAUAGUCAUUAUCAGGGUUUAGACUGUAACAGAAAAAAAUGCAGGGCACUCAGGAAAUAUUGGGUUUGUGGAAAAUAAAAAAUAAAAAUAAAUAAUAAAUUUAUUGUAAGUGGUAUUUUAAAUUUAAAUUUAACUGGUGCCCUGUAUUUCAUCUGGCCACUCCAGUCAUUUUGUUUUCCUGAAAUUGGUGAUGAACAGAUAAAGUAAAUUUUAUGUAGCAUACCAUUGAGUUGUCAGGCUGCCAGGUUACUAAUUUUAUCACUUAAAGGCACACAAAAGGCAACCACACUGAUUCUAUUUCUGAUAACUAGACCUUUUCAAAGUCCUUGGACUAGUCAUGGUAAAACCAGAGCAUAACAUUCCUAUUUUAACCAAGCUUUCUUGUUUUCUUUCAAAACUACAUUUAUUAUGUAUUCCACAGGGGGUACCAACCCCCAAACUGAAACAUUCUUCUAAGAGGGGAAAUGUUAAUUGCUAAAAAUUUGGGGGAUUAUAAGUUUUCAGCUUCCAAUUCUGAGUUCUAAUCUUAGCAUUUGUUACUAACAGGAUGUGAGCAAUGAUAAGUAAUUUUCUUCUUUUGAGUUUCAAUUGCAUCAUCCAUAAAACACAAACCAACUAUUCCAAUCUCUGUUUUCAGUUUAUUUUAUUUGUAUGGGUGUUCUGUCUGCAUAUAUGUCUGUGCACCCGUGGAGGCCAGAAGAUGCCGGGUCCUCAGGAACUGGAAUUACAGACCGUUGUGAGCCACAAUAUGGGUGCUGGAAAUCGAACCUGGAUCCUCUGAAAGCGCAGCCAAUGCUCUUAACUUCUGAGCCGUCUCUCCAGCCCAGCCCACCCUCAUCUUCUUUGCACAGAGUAGAAGACGCAUGACUAUCUUCGAUGAAGUAAAAGGUCAAAAGUACAGAAGGAGCAUGAAGGGGAUGACUCCAGCUCCAACCUCAGCACCACAGAGAUAAGCAUCAACUACAUCAUCGGCAACCUCAGGGAAGGAUGGGGCUUCAUGAAUCCUUCCCUCUUCCCUAACAGUCCUGUGAAGCUGAGUGUAAGAGGCAUGCCACAUCCAAAAAGAAGCAUUCCACAACACCUCUCCCCUCCUCCACCCCUUACAUUCUUCUGCCCCUGAGCCUUGGAGGAGAUGAUCUAGACAUCGCAUUAGGGCUCAGCUUUCAAUAGUCAGUGCUCCCAGGACUCUGGAGGUCGAGUUGUGUAGUGGUAACAACCGCUGCUGUGUUGACAAGCUUUUACAGUAUGUCUUAAAAUAACUGAAGAAAACCUGGAAGGACUCAACAUCAUUGCUGGCAGCGACUACUCUCGGGUAACAUGAAUGAAGUCAUCAAGGCUGGACUUGAACCUAAGAACUUCUUAGUCUUAGCUUCCCAUAGGAUUACAGUUACAGUGUUUGCAUAAUUUGACCUGGAUCCACUACUCAAGUUUGGAAAAAUGCAAGAAUGAAAUUGUUUAACUUGAGAAACUGAUGCUGUGUUCUCCUGAGAAGCAAGAACUCUUAGAGCUGGAGGAGCCUGUUGAAGCUCACCUGUGACCCGGGGCCUGGCCCUGGCCCUGGCCCUCACAGCUCCAGUCUUCAUCAACAGCAAAGCUGGGAGCAAAACCUGAGGGCCUAACUCCUACUCCAGUUACCACCUUGUUAGAGCCUUACACAAUCCCAA